ensembl:snRNA U6 U6 spliceosomal RNA
GUGCCUGCUUUAGCAACACUUGCCCUAAAAUUGAACAAUAUAGGGAAGAUUAGCAUAGCCUUUGCACGAGGAUAUCACAAAAUUCAUGAAGCAUUCCAUAUUUUU